GAGCAGAUUCCACCACCUAACGUAGGCUGGAUACACGGAAACGACCCCGCCGACGACUACAACCACCAGGAGCGCCGCGCUCGCUCGCAAAGCACUCUGGGACUUGAAGUUUCUCCUGCGCUGCCAUCUGAGGAGGGGAGCCCACAGCGGCCCUCUCCCCCGGGACACCAUGAGAAUACCGUCUCCAAAAAUAGAGGUCUCCUCCUCUCCUUCCAGCUCUUCCGCUCUUCCAGGUAUCUGUCGCUUCCACUCGCAUUAUUGGAUGGAGGGCACGCUCGCAGAUCCUCCACCUGCAGACAUGAAAUGAUCCUGCACCCUGCUGAGGAGCGCUGUUGAUGUUUUGUUUUUUUUUGUUUUUUUUUUGUGAAGUAUUGCAGGGAGAUUGCAUAGCAGACCUGUCAAGUCAAGUCAAGGUUAAGUGUGUGAGUGUGUUUGUGUGUCUCCAUUGAUUAGAUAUUGCUAUUAUUAGCAACAAGCCCAUGCAACAUAAACGGCAGCUUUAAAGGGAUAUCAUGGCUGUAUCAUGCAUGUGUGGAGCUGAAUCGAAGUUGACUCUGUGUGUGUGUGUGUGUGUGUGUGUGUGUGUGUGUGUGUGUGUGUGUGUGUGUGUGUGUGUGUGUGUGUGCUGUUGACUGUUUCCAGCUUUAAUUAGCAGGCUUCUGUUUCUGUCUGGCUCACCAGCUCACCUUUCCCCUCUGAGGACAUGAUGGCAGAUAUUAACACGUUAGACAAAACCCUGCGAGUCAAAUCAAGACCAAACGUGAUGAAACAGUAUCUCGAGUGUUGUGAUUUGGAUCAUGAAGCGUUUUAAAGAGAGUCUGCGGGAUCAGGACAACAACACGAGUCUGUGUAUUCGGCCGGCUGCCGGCUGGUUUCCUGUUUUUCUUUCAUGUUCGGAUGAAAGCUAAUUCCCCUUCAUCACCGAAACUCAUUCACAUGUUUGAUUUUUGAAUAUUUAUUUUUUUUCAAAGUGAAUCUUUGGACACAUCUAUCCCAGGAGAAAUGUCACCCUCACUGAGGUGUCUAAAUAUAUUUCCAAGACUUUGCGCAGGGAGCCCGUCUUCCUAUCUUCAGCCUAAUAAAUUCAAGUCCCAAAAGUCCAAAAUUCACCGUUUCCUGGGGAGAGAAUGAGUCACCUUUCGAUUGCAUGCGUAUAAUUAAAUCUCUUGGUAUAUGUGAUGAUGAAGUGCUGUAUCGUCAUGUUGACAGUCUGGGCCUCCCCGAGGUGUUUCUCUCAUCUAUUCUUCACCUCGUCCACAGCCGACAUGUGAACUCGUGAGCCUGCAAGAUUUAUUGGGCCUCGUACCUCGAGGACGGUGCGCUUGUUCGUAUUUCCAUCCUGUUCUUCCUUUUGAUUACACAUGCAGGUGAUUUAUCUACUGCUGCUAAAGUCCUUGUCAGCUGUUUUUUUUUUUUUGGAGUCCCAGCAGGAAGUCGAUAUUUGUAAAGACUGAGGCCAGACUAUAUCUGUCGAUCCAUCCGUCGAUUCAUCCAUCUACCCAACAUUUAGAGUAUCUCAGAGACACAAGCGGCACCGUGCUCGUGACUGAGGCCACAAAGUGUGAGGAAAGUGCCACGGAAAUAACUUCUACGAUGAGCAACGAUCCAAAGCAAGCAUCUGCCAUCCAGCACUUAACCAUAACACUAAAUGUUUGAAUGUAAUUACGUCCCGUCGGUGUGAUAAUAAGUAAAUCCUCUCAUUAAUUGGGUCUUAGGAUUGUGUAGCUCUUGCUGUCACAGCUAAUUGACCCCAAGAAUGAGGUGGAGUACAUCUGCCUUCAUUUGUGCACAACUCUAAUUAACACCACCACCAGAAAAGGUACACAUUUGUGUGUGUGUAUACAUCUGAUGUGUGUGUGUGUGUGAGAGAGGGAGAGUGUGUGUGACAUGGGAUCUCUUGACCCCAAUCAACCGUACCAGACCAUAUGGAGAAUUACAAUUUAAGUCUUUUUACAUUCCAUCCUAUAUGAUUACGCCGCUCGUGUCCUAUAAUUAUACGGUACUCAAACUCGCCUGUGUUUUACACACGCUGAUUUAGUAACAUAUUAACUGUUAUAUCCUUUACAGCCGCCGUCCUCAAUCUUGUUUCUCCGACACGUAACCCACAAUCCUUCACUCUCACGCCUGUUCGACUACCACUAACUGUGAAAAAGCUGGUGUGUAUCAGCCGUGUUACUUUAAGCUCGACAUUUCAGCUCGCUUGUUUUUUCGACGAGUCUCAAAUGCAUCGUUUUGUGUAAAAGUGCGACAGCUGAUUCGGGUCGAUGGCAAACUGAGUUUUUUUUUUUUUUUUGGCUACAGGGACACAAGCCAUCUGCAUUUUAUUACCUUUCAAUUUAAUAUGGCAGCUUGUUUGCACACAGAGCAGCAUUACAAUUCAUUUAGAGUUGUGUUUCUCUCCGCCUGACGGAUGUACAGUGAGUCCCAUUCAUGAUUUCUCAGUGAUGUCCAGCUCCUCAGGGCGAAUCUGCCUCUUAAGAUGCUAAAUGCUCCAUUAUGUUCACCAGCUGGUUGCUAACUUUUCCCUUAUCUGCCACAGGGUUGUUCGGCUGCCUGCUGAAAAUAAUGCUGAUAGGAGCAAAAACAUUAAAUUUGCACUGAACUAGCCGCAUGUCUAAUUCAUACUCCAAACAAACAGAGUAACUGGUAACUGCUGCAGCUGCCAUUUUGCUAUUUAGCUCAGAGAGUUGUGCACUUAAGGAGAAGCUAAGGCUAGCUGGUUAGCAUCUCUGCAACACAGUAGACUUUUUUUUUUUAAUAACGUCAACACUGUUAUUUCUUCACAUCUCCUUCUUCUUCUACAUACCACUUUAAUAAAACAGCCUCUAAAAACA